AUUGAACGCUGGCGGAAUGCUUUACACAUGCAAGUCGAACGGUAGAGGGGGCAACCCCUCGAGAGUGGCGAACGGGUGAGUAACAUAUCGGAACGUAUCCAAUAAUGGGGGAUAACGAGUCGAAAGAUUCGCUAAUACCGCAUACGCCCUACGGGGGAAAGCUGGGGACCUUCGGGCCUGGCGUUAAUGGAGCGGCCGAUAUCUGAUUAGCUAGUUGGUGAGGUAAAGGCUCACCAAGGCGACGAUCAGUAGCUGGUCUGAGAGGACGACCAGCCACACUGGAACUGAGACACGGUCCAGACUCCUACGGGAGGCAGCAGUGGGGAAUUUUGGACAAUGGGCGCAAGCCUGAUCCAGCCAUUCCGCGUGAGUGAAGAAGGCCUUCGGGUUGUAAAGCUCUUUCGCAAGGGAAGAAAACUUAGCCACUAACAUUGGUUGAGGUUGACGGUACCUUGAUAAGAAGCACCGGCUAACUACGUGCCAGCAGCCGCAGUAA
rnacentral:rRNA from 1 species